rnacentral:rRNA from 1 species
UACGUAGGGUCCGAGCGUUGUCCGGAAUUACUGGGCGUAAAGAGCUCGUAGGUGGUUUGUCGCGUUGUUCGUGAAAACUCAUAGCUCAACCGUGGGCGUGCGGGCGAUACGGGCAGACUUGAGUACUGCAGGGGGAGACUGGAAUUCCUGGUGUAGCGGUGGAAUGCGCAGAUAUCAGGAGGAACACCGGUGGCGAAGGCGGGUCUCUGGGCAGUAACUGACGCUGAGGAGCGAAAGCGUGGGGAGCGAACAGG